rnacentral:rRNA from 1 species
GACGAACGCUGGCGGCGUGCUUAACACAUGCAAGUCGAACGGAAAGGCCCUGCUUUUGUGGGGUGCUCGAGUGGCGAACGGGUGAGUAACACGUGAGUAACCUGCCCUUGACUUUGGGAUAACUUCAGGAAACUGGGGCUAAUACCGGAUAGGAGCUCCUGCUGCAUGGUGGGGGUUGGAAAGUUUCGGCGGUUGGGGAUGGACUCGCGGCUUAUCAGCUUGUUGGUGGGGUAGUGGCUUACCAAGGCUUUGACGGGUAGCCGACCUGAGAGGGUGACCGGCCACAUUGGGACUGAGAGACGGCCCAGACUCCUACGGGAGGCAGAAGUGGGGAAUAUUGCACAAUGGGCGGAAGCCUGAUGCAGCAACGCCGCGUGCGGGAUGACGGCCUUCGGGUUGUAAACCGCUUUCGCCUGUGACGAAGCGUGAGUGACGGUAAUGGGUAAAGAAGCACCGGCUAACUACGUG